GGCUCAGGAUGAACGCUGGCGGCGUGCCUAAUACAUGCAAGUCGAGCGAACGGACGAGAGUGCUUGCACUCUUUGAUGUUAGCGGCGGACGGGUGAGUAACACGUGGGUAACCUACCUAUAAGACCGGGAUAACUUCGGGAAACCGGAGCUAAUACCGGAUAAUAUUUUUCUCUGCAUGGAGGAAUAGUGAAAGACGGUUUUGCUGUCACUUAUAGAUGGACCCGCGGUGUAUUAGCUAGUUGGUGAGGUAACGGCUCACCAAGGCAACGAUACAUAGCCGACCUGAGAGGGUGAUCGGCCACACUGGGACUGAGACACGGCCCAGACUCCUACGGGAGGCAGCAGUAGGGAAUCUUCCGCAAUGGACGAAAGUCUGACGGAGCAACGCCGCGUGAGUGAAGAAGGUUUUCGGAUCGUAAAACUCUGUUGUACAGGGAAGAACAAGUACGUUAGUAAC
rnacentral:rRNA from 1 species